GAGACUUGUCUGGUUUUUGUCCCCGAGAUGAGGACACAUCCCAUCAAGUAUGGUCAGAAGAUGUGUUGGAUCAGACUCUCUGACAGUGUGUUCUGGUCCCCACCGCUCUGGAACUGAAUCAGAACCUCUGCAGAUAGCACCCUGGGAGCUCCAAAACCUGCAGGAGACUGAACUUCCACUACUGAGCUGCACUCCCCUUACCCCAACUGCCGGAUCACUAAGAACCAGAGGAAGAGGAGAUGGAGGUAUUGAUGCCUUGAAUCUGUACAGAGACUCUCAAAGACACAAUAAAGAAAAUCAAAUUACAAGUUCCCUCCUGCUGCUGCCAGAAGAGAUGGCGUUGGCAUUUCCCCAACUGCUAAUGCGCUUUAACUGGCUUCAGACAUUCCAAGGGACAGUGAUCAAAGUUCAUCCAAUACAUCAGCAAAGUAGACACUGUUGAAGUCAUCGAUGGGCAAACAAACCUUCAUGCCACCUCAUAUGUGCAUAGCACUUUAAUGACUCUGUAGAGGUUUGAAGACUCUUCAGAGAUUACAAAGCACUUUUACAUAUCUCAUUC
ensembl:lncRNA